rnacentral:rRNA from 1 species
GACGAAGGUGGCUAGCGUUGCUCGGAUUUACCGGGCCUAAAGCGCGCGUAGGUGGUCCUGUAAGCGGGGGAUGAAAGCCCAUGGCUCACCCAUGGAACUGUCCCUCGGACUGCAGGGCUGGAGGGCGGGAGGGGAGAAUGGAAUUCCCGGUGUAGCGGUGAAAUGCGUAGAUAUCUGGAGGAACACCGGUGGCGAAGGCGACAUCCUGGACCGGUAUUGACGCUGAGGCGCGAAAGCCAGGGGAGCAAACGGG